AUUGAACGCUGGCGGAAUGCUUUACACAUGCAAGUCGAACGGCAGCACGGGGGCAGCCCUGGUGGCGAGUGGCGAACGGGGGAGUAAUACAUCGGAACGUGCCCGGUCGGGGGGGAUAACGUAGCGAAAGUAACGCUAAUACCGCAUACGAUCUGAGGAUGAAAGCGGGGGACCUUCGGGACUCGCGCGAUCGGAGCGGCCGAUGUCAGAUUAGGUAGUUGGUGGGGUAAAGGCCUACCAAGCCGACGAUCUGUAGCUGGUCUGAGAGGACGACCAGCCACACUGGGACUGAGACACGGCCCAGACUCCUACGGGAGGCAGCAGUGUGGAAUUUUGGACAAUGGGCGCAAGCCUGAUCCAGCCAUUCCGCGUGCAGGACGAAGGCCUUCGGGUCGUAAACUGCUUUUGUACGGAACGAAAAGGCUCUGGCUAAUACCUGGGGCUCAUGACGGUACCGUAAGAAUAAGCACCGGCUAACUACGUG
rnacentral:rRNA from 1 species